rnacentral:rRNA from 1 species
UGGGGAAUAUUGCACAAUGGGCGCAAGCCUGAUGCAGCAAUGCCGCGUGAGUGAAGACGGCCUUAGGGUUGUAAAACUCUUUCGCUAGGGAAGAUAAUGACGGUACCUAGUAAAGAAGUCCCGGCUAACUCCGUGCCAGCAGCCGCGGUAAUACGGAGGGGACUAGCGUUGUUCGGAAUUACUGGGCGUAAAGAGUUCGUAGGCGGACUAGCAAGUUAGAGGUGAAAUCCCAGGCUCAACCUUGGAACUGCCUUUAAAACUGCUAGUCUAGAGACCGGAAGAGGUUAGGGGAAUACCUAGUGUAGAGGUGAAAUUCGUAGAUAUUAGGUGGAACACCAGUGGCGAAGGCGCCUAACUGGUCCGGUACUGACGCUGAGGAACGAAAGCGUGGGGAGCAAAC